GGGGUCAUGACAACAUCCAUUAGCUUGUGGUGGCUCCCAGCUCUCAGGAUUGUUUUUACAUGAAUGUAAUAGGGGGUGGUACAGCCUAGGCUGUGCUAGUAACACAGAUUUUAGAUUCCUUCAUGUAACUUGGGCUUAAUGAUGCUGUUGUCUCCAGACACUUUCUAAUAUGCAGAUGAGUGCACAGACACAUGGUUGCGGAUAUCCACACAUAAACUGCCUCAGCAAGUGUUUGAACAUUGAUGGGUGAGCAGGUUCACUUGGGAGUGUGCCCUGCUUCAUUAGAUGGCUGAGAAGCAUGCUUGGUGCUGAUUUUUUUUAGAAGAGAACUCUGUGGCUUCUUAGCUGGCUGUGGUGCGCAUUCCAGUUGAGCACUUCUUACAAUUUCAAGGUUCAGCAAGCAAUUCAGCUGGGGCAGAAGGAGUAAUUACAGAGUUGUGAAAGGCUGAAAUGUAAAACAGAUGGAUAGAUUGUUCCUUCCUCCUGCCAGCCAUAGGGAAAAAAUAAUUCAGGCUCUCGAUAAAAGUGAAUUCCCAGUUUGAAGAGGUCUCCUCUCCCUCCCGAAGUGAAGAAUGACACUGCACAAAUUCUGAUACUCGGUUUACCAUCAGGAUCCCCAGCAUCCCUGUGGCCAGCACAAGUGCUAGGUAGCUGUGCCCACUGGAGUACUGCUGCCACACUGAGCUCUCCUGAUGGAUGCCUAUUCAAUUGACAGUCUGGUGGGUGACUACGGAACUCCUCAGGCAAAGCCUUUUCUGGUGCAAACCAAAGUGGGGAUAUGUAGCAUUUAAUUCAUGUACCCCUUCCCAUGGCAGCCUUCUUGGCUCUGUCCUCUGCAGUGAGGAGUUACAGUGUAUGUAAUUGGUUUCUCACAGGCAUCUCACUGACAGUACAGGAGAUAGUUCAGACCCAUGGGCAGGGUGUCAGAGCAGGCAUCCAGCAACCUGCUGCUGGUUCUGCCCAGCAGAGCCCAUCAGGGACUGAUUGUGAUUUGAGUUCUCUGUGGUACUGUGGUGAGAGCUCGAUAGAUCUUCAAAGUUGCAGUGAUUUAAAAAUUAACUUCAAAAUAUUUUUUUUAAUUAAAUAGAAGAAGCAAAUUAAAUUACUAACACUGAGAACAAGAAAUAACAAUCAUCCACUAAUGGUUUGUCAGAAGACAAGUUCAGUGAAGGGGAAAAUCAAAUUAGGUGCUGCUGGGUUUGUCUCUGCUUUCUUACUUAAAUGGUGUUUUCUAAGAUCAAGGAGAGGACAGAUCAAGCCGCAAUUCCAUUUCAGGAUCUCUGUGGUUCUCACUUGCGUGUCUAGUUACAGAUACUGGUGGUUACAGCAAGGCUUGCUGCUGCAACAGUUACAAAUAAGAUCAUUAGGAGAGCGAGAGGACUGAUAGGGAUAACUGGUUUGCUGGGAGAGAGGAUGACGAGAAAGACUUCAGAGCUGCAAAGCUGACCAGAAACAUGUUGACAUCAGUGGCAAACUUGAAAGCAGGAAAAGCAAGCAGAGCUAAACCAAGUGAGAAGCAGCGGAGAGAUCAUGCUGUCCAGGAUGGCAAAAGACAGCUGGCUAUCUGUGUCUAAUCCUGCAGACACUGAUUUUCACAGAAGGAUGCUUAUGCCAGUUCCUUUAGGAGAAACAUUUAUAACAGCUUUCUGCAGGAAUAGCAUGCAGACUUGCAGCAAAUCCUGCGCAGGCAUCCAAGGCAGACUCUGCUCCUGUGCCUUUUUUGGGAAAAAUAUCCCUUUGUCAGAAGAUGCUUCAUCUCAUCAUUAGCAGCUGAAGCACGUGGCACACGCAAGCGGGUACACAUCCUUCAGUUGUCCUGAUACUUGCUAGGAAAGCAACAUGGUGUUUCACAAGCAGCUCAGGAGUGCGAGAAGGUUGUCAGAGGUGGCCUUUGCAAGACACUGGAGGGGUCCACACCCUUAAUCAGAAGAAAAGAAACAGUUGUAGCAAGAAAACAACCUCCUCAACUGUGAGCUAGUGGGAGAGCUUCCAUGCAGAAGAGGAGUAUCAGGAAUAUACCAAAGACAAGGUUCAUGCAAAUAAAUACAGAAAUACCACAUAGAUGUGGUUAGGAAUGUGAAAGAUCAGCUGAAGCUUGAUCUAGCAAAAGAUAUCAAACAUAGCAAGAAAGACUCCUGUGCGUAUAUGGCAAGAAGUACAAGGAAGCUAUAGGUCUGCUGCUGUAUGGGACUGGAAAGUUAAUUUAAAAUGCUCACAGUAAAAAAAGAAAAAGAAAAAAAAAACUCAGUGUCAGUGCCUUCCUUGCUGCAGUUCUCCUGAGUGAGACCAGCGCCCAGCUAUGCUGAGCAUUUAUGACAAAAACAGAACUACCAAUAGAGGACAGGGAUGGAAUUAG
ensembl:lncRNA